rnacentral:rRNA from 1 species
GACAGAGGUCUCAAGCGUUGUUCGGAUUCAUUGGGAGUAAAGGGUGCGUAGGCGGCGCGGGAAGUCGGGUGUGAAAUCUCGGAGCUUAACUCCGAAACUGCAUUCGAUACUGCCGUGCUUGAGGACUGGAGAGGAGACUGGAAUUUACGGUGUAGCGGUGAAAUGCGUAGAUAUCGUAAGGAACGCCGGUGGCGAAAGCGGCGCACUGGAUCUCAUCUGACGCUGAGGCGCGAAAGCCAGGGGAGCAAACGGG